rnacentral:rRNA from 1 species
AUGAAGCCGCGCAUGGCGGGGUGGUUGAGGAUGAGCGUCUGCGGCGCCCAGUCUCGGAUGAUGAUGCCGCGGUCACCGCGUGCCAUCAGCUCGGCGAAGCCCUCAGGCAUCCACUCUGACCCGUCCGUGCCUGUGCCGGAGCUGAUGAUCCACAUGAAGUCCUUGCCAGAGAGGUCCAGGCCGCUGGCGAGCUCGCGCAGCUCGGCCGGCGAGAAACUGGUGAACGUGCCAAAGGAGACGUACACCACCGAGCCGGCCCGCUUUGCGUCCAAGGUCCAACCACCGCAGGCAGUCGUCGAUGACGUGUGCCUUCGUGUUGUUGGUGCUGCCUCUCUUAGCCAUGUCUUUGCUGGCGAGCGCGACCGGCCCCACGAGCCACGCACGGCGGCCGAGCGUCGUGCGGAAGUGCUCGACGUAGUCCGGCUCCAGCUCGUGGAAGCUGUUGAACACCUCGCCGAAGCUCCUCUGGUCCGCGGCAUCGUUGUCCUUGUGGAAUGCCCACAUCGCCGGCCGCUUCCUGGGAUCCAUCAUCUGGCUCCGCCUCAGCUGGACACGGUGCGGCAGCCCCGGCAGGGAGACGAGCUGGGCGUCGUCAUCAGGGUCGUCGUCGGUGGUAGCCGUCGUUGUCUCCAGCGGGUUGGUGCGCAGCAUGGUCUCGCUGCAGCACCGGGUGAACACGCUGCUGCCGAGGAACACGACGCGCGGGACGCCGUGCUCCCGGCCGGCGUCCGCGGACCAGCUGAAGAAGCUGUCGGACACGACGGCGUCGGGGCGGUUAGCAGCCAUGAACCGGUCGAAGGGCUCGCGGAGCAGCUGCGCGGCCUGGAUGAACUUGAAGUUGUAGUCGGCUCCGUGGGCUGGAGUAAGGGAUAUGAGGUUCUCCAUGCCUGGGAGGAGCCCUACGUCGGGGAAAGGCACGACGGAGAUGUCGACUGCAGGGGAAGGGGAGUCGGUGCCGUGGCAGUAGGAGUCGUUGGCGCGGUCGACGGCCGGACGGAUGAUGUCGGCGUUGACGGGCGUGUUGAGGAUGGUGCACCUCGCGCCGCGAGCGGAUAA